UCAUUAAAUAGAAAUAAUGGAGAGCAUUUUUUCUAUCUGUUGUAGCCAUUAUGUCAUAGUUCACCAAGAGAGGAAUCUAAGCCUGACCAACAAAAGAUUUCAGUCCCAAUUAGUGAAAAGCAAUUAGACAAAUGCACCACACAAACAUCCACAAGUUCAUCAUCCCUGACUGGGUCACAGUGCUACAGCAACUACGUAGACUUUUAUUCACCCAUUGUCAUUGAGGACAAGGAAAGCUCCUCUGAAGAAGAGUCUGAAAACAUAGUAAGUAUUAAAGAUCCAUCAGUUGAUGUGAAAGCAAUUUUGUCUGAUCUGGCCAUGCAAAUACUACCUAAUAAAGUUUCAAGAUUCAAUAUAAACAGAGGAGAUCUUUGGGAAGGAGCCCUGCGUGAAUUUAAGAGACA